AGGAAAGGGUUUUCUUUAUGAGAAGUACUCUUUAGUGAUUAGGUACAAGUGUCUGAUUGUGUUAAUUCUCAAGGUCUGUCCUUAUUAAUGUUCAAUUGUUGAUUAAAGGCAUUGUCUGCAAUUAAUGCCUGUCAGUGGUGUUUACACAUGGUGAUGAUAUUUCAUCGGAGAAGGUAACUCUGUUAAUAAGUUGCAGCCCUGAGAAAUAAGCAAAGGGCUAAGUGCCUUGUAGAGGCUGUUGAUCGCAUGCAGAUGCUGCUGGGCACUAGGGCGGAACCUCGCGCAUCACCCUGUUUGUUCUCGCACAGAGCUCUGCACAUCAGUGGGACUCUGCUCUGGGAUCAUCCUGGGAAGCAGUGGGAGGGCUGCAAGGAGAAAUAUGGCAGCAGAGCUGGCUGGGGCCAGGCAGCAGCUUCUGACAGUGGGACUUCUGGGGUAAAUGCCAUUGGUGCCUGUGCUUGAAAGCACAUAAGCCUCUCUCCAAAUUCUUUCUCUGUCGCCUAUAGAAGAAUAUGUUUGGCUUUUCUUUGAGGUUGUAACCAUUCUGCCUCAACACCUUUGGAUGCCUUUUUAAGUUAUGAGAUAGUUUGAGGUGGUAUUAGCAACCGAUGGAGCCCUGAAAGCUGAAGGGAGUUUGUGCUGCUCAGCAACCUAAGCCUCAAGUGAAAUCUUGGGUUUGAAGUGACCAAAAACUUUCCAUCAAGUGAUGUGGAAGGUGUUUGAACCCUCUCUUGGAAACCAGUGGUUGCUGCAUGGCUGGGCAAGAUGCAAAAGCAGUAACUACUGCACUCACUGCCAAAGCACUUAGAGUCAAAGGUUGCUGAUGGAAUUCCUGUGCCACAUGCAUCAUUGAGGAGCAGCACAGAGCUUGAAAAGGGCUCUAGGAUAAGGGAUCCCUGGCCUUCACUGGAAACCAAAGAGCUAUUGUGGAGCUCUGGAGAUAGCAGCACCAUCAUCAGUGCAAAGGCCAGCUUGAGGAAGAAGGAAUUAUGACUCUUCCUGCCUAGCAAAAGUAUGCCUGCUUGGAAAGUCCAUCUACAAAUCCUGAAGAUGUAUGUGACCAGUUUGGGGCAGUCCUGGGGAGCACCAAGUGCUAGAAGGAGGACACGUGCUUGUACAGAAACACAAUAGACAGAGAGGCGGGAAUGCUGUUCCUCUGAAGUUCUCCUUUGAAUUUCCAUAAAGAUUGAAUUUGAAAGACCCAUACCCAUUAAAAGAUUUGGGCUGAAGUAAUAGCCAAGUGCUCUUCUCAGGCAAUUCAGAAAUGCUGUGUGUAAGAGCUCUGCCAUCCCCUGAUCAGCCUGUUUAAGUUAUUUGAUGCAGUCACCUGAAUUUAGGAGCAGUGUGGAGCUAGUGAAUCCAACAAAGCAUCAAGAGACGCUGUCACAACCCUACAUACAAUCCACUGCAGGACCAAGCCAGUGCUGUCUGUGAUUCAGGAGAACUGAGAAAAGAUGAAAAGGCUGAACCCUGAAGUAGAGAAAAAUGCCUCAGAAAACCAGGAACCCUUCCAUCCAUGCUAAGAGAAUAUUCAAUUAAAUUGAAUUGAAGAGAAUGUUCAAAUAAACAUCUUAUACCUGUGUGACAGCAGCUUGUAUCUCUUAAUGUGCAAAAUCCUGGGCUCACUGCCCAUAGUACGUGUCUUAAAACCCCUUAGACUGAGAGGUGACCCUUCCACUGGGUCUAUCUCCUCCUAGCCAUCGAAGGUCACUUCAGCAAUUCCUAAAGAGUUAUCUUCUUUACAGAAAACACUGGAAGCAGGAGGGUGAUUGCCAGUGUCAAGACUGGAGCCAUAGUCAAAGAAAAGGAAGUGCCCUGCCCCUGUGAAAUAAACCUUCUCCAUCCCCAGGUUAAAAAAAAAUAAACAAUUAGACCUUCUACUGCUCAAAGAUAGCUAUUAACAAAUCUGUUGUUUAGCAGAAGCAGCAUGUAUGUGCAUAUGUGUCAAUAAAAGAAAACCAAUGAAACUAUCCUCCAUAAAUUGUAAUUGCUUCUUUUGUAUUCAUAUUA